CCUACGGGAGGCAGCAGUGAGGAAUAUUGGUCAAUGGGCGCGAGCCUGAACCAGCCAAGUAGCGUGAAGGAUGACUGCCCUACGGGUUGUAAACUUCUUUUACACGGGCAUAACGCGAGGCACUUGUGCCUGUCUGUAUGUACUUUAUGAAUAAGGACCGGCUAACUCCGUGCCAGCAGCCGCGGUAAUACGGAGGAGCCGAGCGUUAUCCGGAUUUAAUGGGUUUAAAGGGAGCGUAGGUGGGUUGUUAAGGCCGUUGUAAAAAUCGGGGGCUCAACCGUAGAAUUGCAGUUGAAACUGGCAGUCUUGAGUACAGAAGAGGCAGGCGGAAUUCGUGGUGUAGCGGUGAAAUGCAUAGAUAUCACGAAGAACUCCGAUUGCGAAGGCAGCUUGCUA
rnacentral:rRNA from 1 species